rnacentral:sRNA from 1 species
GAGUUGGUGCCGCUGCCACCCCCGAUUCCGAGCCUUCGGCACCUCUGCCGGGUGGUACCCAGCCUUCCCGGCGCCCCCUCCUCUCCUCCCACCGGCCUGCCCUUCCCCGCGGGACUACCGCCCCCACGUUUCCCUCAGCCCUUUUCUCUCCCGGCCGAGCCGCGGCGGCAGCAGCAGCAGCAGCAGGAGGAGGAGCCCGGAGGCGGCGGUGGCCGGGGAGCCCAUGGCGUACAGUCAAGGAGGCGGCAAAAAAAAAGUCUGCUACUACUACGACGGUGAUAUUGGAAAUUAUUAUUAUGGACAGGGUCAUCCCAUGAAGCCUCAUAGAAUCCGCAUGACCCAUAACUUGCUGUUAAAUUAUGGCUUAUACAGAAAAAUGGAAAUAUAUGUGAGUAUUCUUUUUAAUACAUAUUCAGCACUGAUCUUUUUUCUUUUUUUUAUUUUUUUUUAGCUACUGUGAAACUUUGUCUAUUAUUCCCCUUUUGAGGGCAUUUAGCAGAUGAAAAGAUCUGGAAGAAAACAAACUUCUUUUUUCGUUUUACUCUUAGGAGAUGAAUAAGAAUGAGAGCUAUACCCUCUUUUUCCUUUUCCUUUAACCAUUUAAAAAAGUUCCUCCUACCCUAGGCUUUCAUGUUUCUAGAGAACAACUCAGUAUAGCAACAACUCAAUGUAGCAUAUUAAGUAUUUUUUU